AGAACAACACAAAUGCGUCGAACCGAUAACAACCUCAAAUACCGUAUAUCUAUUAUAAUACAGGUACUUAAAACGUGUAAAUCGGUUGUCACAUUUUUAUUAUAGUAAUCUAACUUUACAUGUACAUGCACGCAAAUACGAAAUACCUAAAUAAUCUAAAUAAUACAAACGUAGGUAUAGCUGUGUUAUUAUACAAUGUGGUCUAAUACCCCUCCCCCUCCGACAAAUCAACCAAUUUAUGUGGCACCAAUUUUCGGUGAUAUUGAAUGGGUAAAAGUCGAGACGGUAGAACAGAAAAUAAUUUAAUUUA